GAAGAAGGCUUUUGAUGAAUACGCCGGUCGGGACGGUAACCCCAGCACUCUUACCAAAGAGGAAUUGAAGCAGAUGCUCCAGGACAAGAUGGGACCAGCUUUGAAGUGUGCUAAAUCCCCGGAUAAAGUGGAUACAAUCUUUGAAUGCAUGGACAAAAAUAAGGAUGGAGAAGUGGACUUUCCAGAGUUCAUGAAAGUAGUGGGAAUGAUGAUGAGCGCAGCCAAUGGUUGGCAGAUGAAGUGCAACAAGUGAGCAGAGAGAGAUCUCAGACUUGUGCUAGCAGUUAUCUGGUGUUGCUAAAUAAAGAAAUUCUUACUAUGUA